rnacentral:rRNA from 1 species
GGUGAAAAGCACCCCGGAAGGGGAGUGAAAUAGAACCUGAAACCGUGUGCUUACAAGUAGUCAGAGCCCGUUAAUGGGUGAUGGCGUGCCUUUUGUAGAAUGAACCGGCGAGUUACGAUUUGAUGCAAGGUUAAGCAGUAAAUGUGGAGCCGUAGCGAAAGCGAGUCUGAAUAGGGCGUUUAGUAUUUGGUCGUAGACCCGAAACCAGGUGAUCUACCCUUGGUCAGGUUGAAGUUCAGGUAACACUGAAUGGAGGACCGAACCGACUUACGUUGAAAAGUGAGCGGAUGAACUGAGGGUAGCGGAGAAAUUCCAAUCGAACCUGGAGAUAGCUGGUUCUCUCCGAAAUAGCUUUAGGGCUAGCCUCAAGUGAUGAUUAUUGGAGGUAGAGCACUGUUUGGACGAGGGGCCCCUCUCGGGUUACCGAAUUCAGACAAACUCCGAAUGCCAAUUAAUUUAACUUGGGAGUCAGAACAUGGGUGAUAAGGUCCGUGUUCGAAAGGGAAACAGCCCAGACCACCAGCUAAGGUCCCAAAAUAUAUGUUAAGUGGAAAAGGAUGUGGCGUUGCCCAGACAACUAGGAUGUUGGCUUAGAAGCAGCCAUCAUUUAAAGAGUGCGUAAUAGCUCACUAGUCGAGUGACACUGCGCCGAAAAUGUACCGGGGCUAAACAUAUUACCGAAGCUGUGGAUUGUCCUUUGGACAAUGGUAGGAGAGCGUUCUAAGGGCGUUGAAGCAUGAUCGUAAGGACAUGUGGAGCGCUUAGAAGUGAGAAUGCCGGUGUGAGUAGCGAAAGACGGGUGAGAAUCCCGUCCACCGAUUGACUAAGGUUUCCAGAGGAAGGCUCGUCCGCUCUGGGUUAGUCGGGUCCUAAGCUGAGGCCGACAGGCGUAGGCGAUGGAUAACAGGUUGAUAUUCCUGUACCACCUAUAAUCGUUUUAAUCGAUGGGGGGACGCAGUAGGAUAGGCGAAGCGUGCGAUUGGAUUGCACGUCUAAGCAGUAAGGCUGAGUAUUAGGCAAAUCCGGUACUCAUUAAGGCUGAGCUGUGAUGGGGAGAAGACAUUGUGUCUUCGAGUCGUUGAUUUCACACUGCCGAGAAAAGCCUCUAGAUAGAAAAUAGGUGCCCGUACCGCAAACCGACACAGGUAGUCAAGAUGAGAAUUCUAAGGUGAGCGAGCGAACUCUCGUUAAGGAACUCGGCAAAAUGACCCCGUAACUUCGGGAGAAGGGGUGCUCUUUAGGGUUAACGCCCAGAAGAGCCGCAGUGAAUAGGCCCAAGCGACUGUUUAUCAAAAACACAGGUCUCUGCUAAACCGUAAGGUGAUGUAUAGGGGCUGACGCCUGCCCGGUGCUGGAAGGUUAAGAGGAGUGGUUAGCUUCUGCGAAGCUACGAAUCGAAGCCCCAGUAAACGGCGGCCGUAACUAUAACGGUCCUAAGGUAGCGAAAUUCCUUGUCGGGUAAGUUCCGACCCGCACGAAAGGCGUAACGAUUUGGGCACUGUCUCAACGAGAGACUCGGUGAAAUCAUAGUACCUGUGAAGAUGCAGGUUACCCGCGACAGGACGGAAAGACCCCGUGGAGCUUUACUGUAGCCUGAUAUUGAAAUUCGGCACAGCUUGUACAGGAUAGGUAGGAGCCUUUGAAACGUGAGCGCUAGCUUACGUGGAGGCGCUGGUGGGAUACUACCCUAGCUGUGUUGGCUUUCUAACCCGCACCACUUAUCGUGGUGGGAGACAGUGUCAGGCGGGCAGUUUGACUGGGGCGGUCGCCUCCUAAAAGGUAACGGAGGCGCUCAAAGGUUCCCUCAGAAUGGUUGGAAAUCAUUCAUAGAGUGUAAAGGCAUAAGGGAGCUUGACUGCGAGACCUACAAGUCGAGCAGGGUCGAAAGACGGACUUAGUGAUCCGGUGGUUCCGCAUGGAAGGGCCAUCGCUCAACGGAUAAAAGCUACCCCGGGGAUAACAGGCUUAUCUCCCCCAAGAGUUCACAUCGACGGGGAGGUUUGGCACCUCGAUGUCGGCUCAUCGCAUCCUGGGGCUGUAGUCGGUCCCAAGGGUUGGGCUGUUCGCCCAUUAAAGCGGUACGCGAGCUGGGUUCAGAACGUCGUGAGACAGUUCGGUCCCUAUCCGUCGUGGGCGUAGGAAAUUUGAGAGGAGCUGUCCUUAGUACGAGAGGACCGGGAUGGACAUACCUCUGGUGUACCAGUUGUCGUGCCAACGGCAUAGCUGGGUAGCUAUGUGUGGACGGGAUAAGUGCUGAAAGCAUCUAAGCAUGAAGCCCCCCCUCAAGAUGAGAUUUCCCAACUUCGGUUAUAAGAUCCCUCAAAGAUGAUGAGGUUAAUAGGUUCGAGGUGGAAGCAUGGUGACAUGUGGAGCUGACGAAUACUAAUCGAUCGAAGACUUAAUCAA